UACGUAGGGGGCAAGCGUUGUCCGGAAUCAUUGGGCGUAAAGAGCGUGUAGGCGGUCCAGUAAGUCCGCUGUGAAAGCCCCGGGCUUAACCUGGGAAUGGCAGUGGAAACUGGAGGACUUGAAUUGAGCAGAGGGGGGUGGAAUGCCGCGUGUAGCAGUGAAAUGCGUAGAGAUGCGGCGGAACACCGAUGGCGAAGGCAGCCCCCUGGGCUUAAAUUGACGCUGAGGCACGAAAGCGUGGGGAGCAAACAGG
rnacentral:rRNA from 1 species